rnacentral:RNase_P_RNA from 2 species
ACGUUCGGGUAAUCGCUGCAGAUGUUUGCAUCUGUAGAGGAAAGUCCAUGCUCGCACGGUGCUGAGAUGCCCGUAGUGUUCGUGCCUAGCGAAGUCAUAAGCUAGGGCAGCCUGUUUUCAGGCUGACGGCAGGAAAAAAGCCUACGUCCUUUUCGGAUAUGGCUGAGUAUCCUUGAAAGUGCCACAGUGACGAAGUCUCACUAGAAAUGGUGAGAGUGGAACGAGGUAAACCCCUCGAGCGAGAAACCCAAAUUUUGGUAGGGGAACCUUCUGAACGGAAAUGAACGGAAGGAAGGACAGAGAUAUCUCUGUAGAUAGAUGAUUACCACCUGAGUACGAGGUGAAAGCCGAUUGCAGUACGAGGGAACAAAACAUGGCUUACAGAA